AGACGUCUACAUUUUCAGACACAAUUUGGAACGAACUGUGAACACCCCAAUUUAUUUUUCAAUAGGAAGUUAAAGCACAGCAUAAAUGUAAUGGUGAUAUGUGACCACAAAUGCGUAUUAGGGCUGUUAAUGGUACAUUUGGAGGUGCGUCGCACGAUUCUCACAUAUGGAAUUUAUCAAACGAACGUGAUUAUAUGAAAACGAACUACGAAAAUGGAGAUAACAAUACACGAAUCCUUGAGAUCUUCAAUCAGAAAUUGUCGAAGGGAAGGUCGAUUAUUGAAGGAGUUUUUGGUGUGUUGAAAGGAUGAUUUCGUUGUGUUUUAGCCGCAAGGGAGCUGCAUUAUGCUCCAAUAAAAGUGGUGCAAAUACUUAAUGUAUGUUGUGCUCUUCACAACAUCUGUAUUUUGUACAAUGUGGAAACCCUCCCAAUAUCGAAAUUGAACCAGAAGAAAUAUCCGCGGUUAAUGUAAACAAUAUGGAAAAUUAUAGUUUUGGAAAUAUUGCUAGAAAUAUAAGAGAUCAAAUAAAAAAUAAUAUGAUUGCCACUGCAAAUUUGAUUU